rnacentral:rRNA from 1 species
UACGUAGGGGGCAAGCGUUGUCCGGAAUCAUUGGGCGUAAAGUGCGUGUAGGCGGUCCGGUAAGUCCGCUGUGAAAGUCGGGGGGCUCAACCCUCGGAUGCCGGUGGAUACUGUCGGGCUUGAGUACGGAAGAGGCGAGUGGAAUUCCUGGUGUAGCGGUGGAAUGCGCAGAUAUCAGGAGGAACACCGAUGGCGAAGGCAGCUCGCUGGGACGGUACUGACGCUGAGGCGCGAAAGCGUGGGGAGCGAACAGG